rfam:Dipodomys ordii contig_50070, whole genome shotgun sequence.
GGUGGCUCAAUGGUAGAGCACUUGCCUUGCAUGCAUAAGCCUCUGGGUUCAAUUCCUCAGCACCA